CCUACGGGGGGCAGCAGUCGAGAAUCAUUCACAAUGGGGGAAACCCUGAUGGUGCGACGCCGCGUGGGGGAAUGAAGGUCUUCGGAUUGUAAACCCCUGUCAUGUGGGAGCAAAUUAAAAAGAUAGUACCACAAGAGGAAGAGACGGCUAACUCUGUGCCAGCAGCCGCGGGAAUACAGAGGUCUCAAGCGUUGUUCGGAAUAACUGGGCGUAAAGCGUGCGUAGGCUGUUUCGUAAGUCGUGUGUGAAAGGCGCGGGCUCAACCAGCGGACGGCACAUGAUACUGCGAGACUAGAGUAAUGGAGGGGGAACCGGAAUUCUCGGUGUAGCAGUGAAAUGCGUAGAUAUCGAGAGGAACACUCGUGGCGAAGGCGGGUUCCUGGACAUUAACUGACGCUGAGGCACGAAGGCCAGGGGAGCGAAAGGGAUUAGAUACCCUAGUAGUC
rnacentral:rRNA from 1 species